UCCGGUUGAUCCUGCCAGAGGUUACUGCUAUCGGUGUUCGACUAAGCCAUGCGAGUCAAAUGUUCUUCGUGAACAUGGCGGACUGCUCAGUAACACGUGGAUAACCUGCCCUUAGGUUUGGCAUAACUCCGGGAAACUGGAGAUAAUUCCGAAUAGGUCAAAUAUGCUGGAAUGCUUUUUGGCCAAAAGACUUCGGUUGCCUAAGGAUGGAUCUGCGGUCUAUCAGGUAGUAGUGGGUGUAACGUACCUACUAGCCUACGACGGAUAUGGGUUGUGAGAGCAAGAGCCCAGAGAUGGAUUCUGAGACAUGAAUCCAGGCCCUACGGGGCGCAGCAGGCGCGAAAACUUUACAAUGCGGGAAACCGCGAUAAGGGGACACCGAGUGCCAGCAUUUAUGUUGGCUGUCCACAUGUGUAAACGGCAUGUGUUAGCAAGGGCCGGGCAAGACCGGUGCCAGCCGCCGCGGUAACACCGGCGGCCCGAGUGGUAAUCACUUUUAUUGGGUCUAAAGGGUCCGUAGCCGGUUUGAUCAGUUCUUCGGGAAAUCUGACAGCUCAACUGUUAGGCUUCCGGGGAAUACUGUCAGACUUGGGAUCGGGAGAGGUGAGAGGUACUACAGGGGUAGGAGUGAAAUCUUGUAAUCCCUGUGGGACCACCAGUGGCGAAGGCGUCUUACCAGAACGGGUCCGACGGUGAGGGACGAAAGCUGGGGGCACGAACCGGAUUAGAUACCCGGGUAGUCCCAGCCGUAAACGAUGUUCGCUAGGUGUCAGGGGCGGUGCGACCGCUUCUGGUGCCGUAGGGAAGCCGUGAAGCGAACCACCUGGGAAGUACGGCCGCAAGGCUGAAACUUAAAGGAAUUGGCGGGGGAGCACUACAACGGGUGGAGCCUGCGGUUUAAUUGGAUUCAACGCCGGA
rnacentral:rRNA from 1 species